rnacentral:rRNA from 1 species
UACGGAGGGGGCCAGCGUUGUUCGGAAUCAUUGGGCGUAAAGGGCGCGUAGGCGGCGCGGUAAGUCGGGUGUGAAAUCUCGGAGCUUAACUCCGAAACUGCAUUCGAUACUGCCGUGCUUGAGGACUGGAGAGGAGACUGGAAUUUACGGUGUAGCGGUGAAAUGCGUAGAUAUCGUAAGGAAGACCAGUGGCGAAGGCGGGUCUCUGGGCCGAUACUGACGCUGAGGAGCGAAAGCGUGGGGAGCAAACAGG